AGGGUGCGGAGCAGCAGCUGCUGAUCCCCGCGGGCUGCCGGCCCUGCCCGCGGCGAGAGUGCCCGGGGGCAGCCCCGCGCCCCCUGCCCCAGCUCCCCCCGCCGUAUCCCUGCCUCGCCCACGCUCGGGUCCCCUCCUCUUCCUCAGCCCCGGGGCCCCGGCCGGUGCCGAGCGGGGACGCGGCGCGGCGCUGGGGCGGCGAGCCCGGCCAGGAGCGCAGGCACUACCGCAAUUUUUUGCCGCAACACGGUGGCCGGAGCCGGCUUGCCUGGUGCCGGCUCCCCCGUGCCGUGGGCGCCCCGUCGCCCUCUGCCUCCCGGCGAGGGAAAGCAGGCGGGGCGCGGGCGCACACGCUCCGCGCACACCCGGCGGCUGGGAGCGGGCACAGCGCGGCGAUGCAGCCCGGCAUCCAUCCCUUCCACCCCUCCGCAACAAGGAGCCCUCUUCAAUGUGCAACAAAUAACCUAUCACCUGCUCCAGGAAAACAUCACCCAAGAAAACACUGACAUAUAUGCAUCCCUUCAACGAGGAUUGGGAUUGUUUAAUCUCUAGCUCACUGUUAGAAGCUCAAGCCAAGCUUGGCCUAUCCUGCUGUCCACUGAGACAACGAAGAGUGUGAAAUAAGAAGACAAAGAAAAACAACAACAACAACAAAGCAAACAAAUAAACAAACCAAACAAAAACUAGUGGAUGCAGAACUUAUCUGAAAUAUUGCUAAGUAAGACUGCAUGAUCUAAGGUCAAAUGUGAAACAUAGAAGCAACUGCUGUUAUCCUGCCUAACACUCUUGUAAACUGAUUUCUUAGGAAAAGGCAUAUAUUUACAGUAAGGAUUCCAUGCCACAAAACUCUGAUAUUAUCAAAUAUUUCUGAAUUAGGAAAUAAUACUAUAUCCUCCCUGAGUGAAUGGCCUAUGAAAAUAAUAUAACAAUGGUGAUGUAUUGCAGAGGAAUACCAAGUUUAAGAAAAUUUGACCCAGGUUGGAAAUGAUGGAGGACAGAAAGAGGUGCUCUAUGAAGGAGAAAAAAAUUAUCAUAUGACAAGGCUUGUUUCUUUGGUUGCUUCUAGUAACAUAUCUUGUCUACUACAAUGGAGCAGUUGUAGCUCUCUUUCAUGGCAUGAAUGCCACAGCUGUUAGGCUUCAACCUGGUCAGGUUUGAUAGGUUGAGGUCACAUAACAUUAACAGAAUGUGAAUAACUUAUUUAGAAUACUCUAAUAUAAAUUCUCACUGCCUCAAGUUUUUCUCACAUGUGAGACUAUCCCUUAUCACCUUCCAGAACUCCAGAAAUAAACUUGUUACAUGGAUGAAGAUGGAAGGUAUAACCCUCUUAUCAAGCUACCUGGAAGCAGAAAAGUCUCUUACUUUAUUUCUUAGACAGUUCACGAAUAAAGCUUCAUGACAAAAGAGAAUAAAGUGAUUUUCAUCCAGACUAAGUGUGGAAAAAAAAAACACACCUUGCUUUCAUAAAAGCUUAAGCUGGUUCUGGAUCUUGGAUGAAGAGCCUCAAGCUGUGACUUUAUGGAACAGGGAAUGAGUACAGAGCAACUCGUUAGCUAACUACUGUGUCUCCCAGUAUGCUGGGAGGGCCACCUCCCAAAUACUGACAUUCCUUUGCUCAUCAGCUGAAAGAUAAUUGUGGCAGAAUGAACAGACAUCUACAGAAGAAGCCAGGUGCAUUACAUUUGGUGCUUGGUUUAGGGAAUGACUUACAUGAGGGAGGAAAUAUCUAAACCAAAAUUAAGAUAUUGCAUGAGUUUGCUUGCUGCUCUACUUUAAUCUUCUUUUGCUUCUGGGGUUUCUUUUGUAGCUGCCCUAAUUUCCUCUAAGUUUACAUGUCCUAUUAAUUUCAGUGAAGACCUCCAUGAAGCCUGAAGGCUCAUAAACUGACAGACUUUCCAUUACUGUUUUUAAAAAAUAAGGCAUACUCUAGCUUUCCUAUUACCUGUAGCUUUUCACAAAGGAAGGUUGGACCACGGUCUUUCAAGAGAGCAGAAAUCACAGCUACUUCAUUAACUGAGUGGUGACAUGUUCUUAAACCUAAUGAUUAUAGACCACUGCUUAUCUGAUAUAAACAGGCUUCAGGGAACAAAUGCUGAAAAAGUAAUCAAAGAAGAGAUGUUUGCUUUGAACAACAAAUAUUUUGAUGCCAAAUCAGAAUGUUCAAGGAAGAAACUGAGAUUUAUAUGGACAUCUCAUCUUUUUCAAGAAUGUCAGCCCUGCCUGGGUGGAAGGGGUUUUCUCAUUAGCUGGCCGCUUCAUAUAGCUCUCUCCAAGGCCUAAACAACCAACUCAGAAAGUUACAAUCCAGGUAAAAUGAAAUCUUAACAAAGGUUUAAGCACAGUAAUAUGUAGAGACAGCUCUGCUGUGUUCUCCACUGGAUAGAUGCACCAGGGAAAGGAAGCUGAAUGAUGAAAAAGAAGACGGAAAAACACAGAAAUAUCUGUAAAAAAUUAAAGGUAGGUUUUGAGGUGAGUAAAGUGAUUACUUGGGGCAGUGAAGACUUUCAAAUGACUUGAGAAGACUUUUUUUUUUUUUUUUUUUCCUUUCUUUAACUCCCUACAGCUUACAAACUACUUCAAAAGAAAGAGAAUUCUGAUGAUAUAAUAGUGCCUUGUAGUGCCUUGUAGUCAUGGCACUGCUAAGGGUGUCCUAGCUUUUGACAACAUGGUAUGUCUGGCAUCUACAGAUAAAAGUGAGACAGGUGCCUAGAAAAAAAAUGACAGAAAAGUAGGUGUGUCAGUAGGAAAGGUCAAGCUCCAUUCAUGUUUCUAUUUACAGGGCAGUUUCAUGAAAGAGGCAAGAUACCACAGACUGUCCUCACUAUUCCUCCUUUUCAUGUCCCUACCAGCCAAAGGGGCUAGUCAUAGUCCUCCCUUGUGCCAUCUCUGUCAUUUACUAGAGACUCCUUGAACCACUCAUUAACCUCAAAAUAUUUUUAUUUUUUCCUUCUCAUGGUUAGGUUAGUUUUCAGCCAGAUUAGGGAAUGGGAUUGGUUUAUAAUGAGGUCCAGUAGGUGUCAAAGCCUAGCUCCUUACAAGGUGGGAGAGACAUGGAAGGAUGAACUGAACUGAACACUAGCAACAACACAUAUUAUAUCAUUUUUACAAUGUCCUUUGCAACUUCACAGUCAUAUAAAUACAGGGGAAUUCAAUUUUAAUCAAAGUUUAUAUAAAAAACAAAAGAAGGAAAGUAAACUCUAGAAGAGUUUGUUCCACUAGAACAAGGUCCAGAUUUUCUCACCCUUGGGCCCUUUAACAUUUAAAAAGGGAAGAUACCUUUUCUCCCCACGUGUCCAUGAUAUCUAAUUUUCAGAAGAAACAUUUAUGCAUAUUAACAAAAUAGUGAAAGAUCAAGAGAGAUUUAUGUGAAAAGUCUAAAUCAAUGCCUGCAUGAUGGAAACAUCACGGUAUAAAGGAGAAUUCUAACCUUAUUUGAAUCCUCUUAUGAUGAGAGGAGGAUAUGCCUGUAGAAACAUUCUGUAUAAGCAAAGAAAUCAAAUACAAUGUCUUUGCUUAAUCUCAAGAUCUGUGACCUGAAUGCUCUUCUGACAUACAACAUUUCAGGUCUUUUCAAAGAUGUGAAGUUAUAACCUGCCAGACAAAUCGAAAGCCAGCAAGCUCUGAACAUAAGGGGAGAUGUAUUUAAUGAAACAAAUGAUAAAAUGCAUUAGCACAUGUUGCCGACGGAAGGAAGACCCAGCACAUCAAUAUGAGUGAACAGUGAACU